GGGGCCGACUGGAAUUGACAGUAGGUGUAAUGCAAGUGUAAGCAUGCAGGGAGUUGUUAGUAUUUCCCUUAAAUAAAACUUUCAUCCUUUUAAUUGGCGAAAGACAAUACGCCCUUGCUGCCUAAUUAGUAUUAGAUAGCAAUGUGUCUCUCUCACCCCACGUUCUGCCGGGUGGGAAUAUGAGACAUCACAAAGCAGAACUGGUAUCAAUAGGGUCGUGAUGUUGGUAUAAGAUUAACCGCGAAUAAGGUUUGGAUUAGGGUGGUUGCUGUCCUUUACAAACUCGAAAACUAAUCGGCAAAUAAGCAUGUAGAAGGCACUUAGUGUUCCUUAUCUGGACCAGAGUUCGAAUCUCUGCGGCUCCACAC
rnacentral:tmRNA from 1 species